AGCUCCAAUAGCGUAUAUUAAAGUUGUUGCAGUUAAAAAGCUCGUAGUUGGAUUUCUGGCGGGAGUGAUCGGUCCGGCUCUCAGAGUUGGUACUCGCAUCCUCUCCUGCCAUCUUUCAGAAAAAUCUAUCUGGCAUUAAGUUGUCGGGUAGGGGAUUCUGAUCUUUUACUGUGAAAAAAUUAGAGUGUUCAAAGCAGGCUUAUGCCGUUGAAUAUAUUAGCAUGGAAUAAUAAGAUAGGACUAUGGUACUAUUUUGUUGGUUUGUGCACCAUGGUAAUGAUUAAUAGGGACAGUUGGGGGUAUUCGUAUUCCAUUGUCAGAGGUGAAAUUCUUGGAUUUAUGGAAGACGAACUACUGCGAAAGCAUUUACCAAGGAUGUUUUCA
rnacentral:rRNA from 1 species